UACGUAGGGUGCGAGCGUUGUCCGGAAUUACUGGGCGUAAAGAGCUCGUAGGUGGUUUGUCGCGUUGUCCGUGAAAACUCACAGCUUAACUGUGGGCGUGCGGGCGAUACGGGCAGACUGGAGUACUGCAGGGGAGACUGGAAUUCCUGGUGUAGCGGUGGAAUGCGCAGAUAUCAGGAGGAACACCGGUGGCGAAGGCGGGUCUCUGGGCCGAUACUGACGCUGAGGAGCGAAAGCGUGGGGAGCGAACAGG
rnacentral:rRNA from 1 species